CCAUUUUUUGCAUCCCUUCUCCUGUCCGCUAUGAGUGCUCGAGACAUCCUUGAGGAGUAUGGUCGCGAAGUGCAGCUUCAGCAUGCCACCUGGGCCCUGUGUCUGCUGUCGCCUACUGGUGUUCCCAAUAGUGUUGCCGUGGCCGAGACUCAGCGCCUUAAUGCCGUGUUGAUCGACGUCCACCGCCGCCUCUCCCAGAUUCGCCGCUCCGACAUUAUCGCGGAACUUCCUCCCGUCACCUNN
rnacentral:lncRNA from 1 species